rnacentral:rRNA from 1 species
UACAGAGACUGCAAGCGUUAUUCGGAUUCACUGGGCGUAAAGGGUGCGCAGGCGGCCAAGUGUGUGAGGCGUGAAAGCCCGGGGCUCAACCCCGGAAUUGCACCUCAAACUACAUGGCUAGAGCAUUGGAGAGGGUAGCAGAAUUCAUGGUGUAGCAGUGAAAUGCGUAGAUAUCAUGAGGAAUACCAGAGGCGAAGGCGGCUACCUGGACAAUUGCUGACGCUCAGGCACGAAAGCGUGGGGAUCAAAAGGG